rnacentral:RNase_P_RNA from 1 species
AGAGUCGCUCGGAUCACCGCGUUAUAGAAAUAUACCGAGGAAAGUCCGGACUCCAUAGAGCAAGGUGGUGGGUAACGCCCACCCGGAGAAAUCCGCGGGAUCAGUGCCACAGAAAAUAGACCGCUCAUGCAAAUGAGUAAGGGUGAAACGGUGGUGUAAGAGACCACCAGCAUUUACGGCAACGUACAUGGCUAGGUAAACCCCACUUGGAGCAAGACCAGACAGAU